GGCCGGCCGCGCGGAGUUUUGCUGCCCUGAGUGGCGGGCGGAAGCUUGUUGUUGAGGGCAGACGUCCAGUACUAUACUCUUCUGUAAUCCUCUUUAUCUCACGUAUCCGUGCCGCCAGCGCCCGAGGGGCCAGUGACUUUCGAUGAUGUGGACGUGGGCUUCCGAAAUGAAGAGUGGACUCGCCUGGCCUGCCCUCAGAAGACUUUCUUUACACGGAGUGAUGCUGAAGAAUUAUGGGAACGCCAUCGCACUGAGUAAGGACUUCGCUGUGACCCGACUGGUCUGACUGCAAGGCCUACCUGCAGUUUCUCACUGACCGUGGCUCGGUCUUUUCUCCACAUUUCCCCGCUCGUGUGGUGGACGCCUCAGCGUCUGCAGAGUUUUCAGAGCUUCAGACCUUAUGAAUAGCUGAGCUCAAGCUUCUUCUGUUUCUGGUUUUUGUUUUAGUAUUUAUUUCUUCUUUAUAUUGUUUAUGUUUAUGCCAGACGAAAGGCUUGGAAUUUGCUUGUGACUUGGCUUGAAAUGUCCCUUAUUGGUAUGCCAAGCCCUCUUUUUGUGGAAGUGCUGCUGGGCCCUGAGGCAAGAUAUUUCUUUUCUUUUCUUUUUUUUUUUCUCCUAAGUAAACUCUGCCCCUAAGGUGAGGAUGAGACUCAGGACCCUAAGAUCAAGAGCCAUUAACAGUGGGCAGUUUUCUAAGCGCUCUCAGCGCGUGCCUUUCUCCCACCUGGAGCUCUGUGUAAGCAUUCCGGCUGACUGGGAAGUCAUAGGGACCUCUCAGCCCAGGGAAUAGGAAGAGGACUGGGAAGUCAGCCUGACCAGAUAGACCGUUUUGCCGAUGAAAGAGGAAGACCUUCCGCAGUGGCUUGGAGGGCCCGGAGCCCAUUCCUCUUCUACUCUCCUGGCUCUCGGUGAUUGGGCCCUGGCCUAGUACAGGAUUGAUGGACUCCCUGCGAUCCAGACAGCCGGCGUCACUCUUAGAGAUUUGCUAAAGGCAGAAAGAGUAACUGCAACCACCAGACAUUUAAACAGUUGGACGUUUAUUGCUGAUAAAGUUACUUUAAACAUUUGAUUGUCAAAUUCUGUUUAAAUAUGAAAUCCAAUAAGGGAUGCCCGGGUGGCUCAGUCAGUGAGGUGUUCCACGCUUGAUUUCGGCUCAGGUGAUCUCACUGUUUGUGAAA